rnacentral:lncRNA from 1 species
AAGUCUCAAUACAACCAAUCUCUGGUCUAGAAAGACAUAUUCAUCUAACGUUUCUUUGAUAGAUAGUGUAGUAAAAGAAUCUGCACAACAAUGGUGGGAGGCCACCCACAUCGGAUUUUAUCAGGCCCCAAUAGGGAGUUCCUCUUUCAGCCGACGCAGUAGGUCUUAUAGAACAUCUAGUCUUUGCAAGUCUUUACUAACCCCUAGGUAAAUCAUCCACCGCACUAAUUGAGACUAGAAUUGUAUAGAAGAAUUUUUUUCAUAUAAUUAUUCACCACAUAUACCCUGC